rnacentral:rRNA from 1 species
AUUGAACGCUGGCGGCAGGCCUAACACAUGCAAGUCGAGCGGAUGAAGAGAGCUUGCUCUCUGAUUUAGCGGCGGACGGGUGAGUAAUGCCUAGGAAUCUGCCUGGUAGGGGGGGAUAACGUCCGGAAACGGGCGCUAAUACCGCAUACGUCCUACGGGAGAAAGCAGGGGACCUUCGGGCCUUGCGCUAUCAGAUGAGCCUAGGUCGGAUUAGCUAGUUGGUGAGGUAAUGGCUCACCAAGGCUACGAUCCGUAACUGGUCUGGGAGGAUGAUCAGUCACACUGGAACUGAGACACGGUCCAGACUCCUACGGGAGGUAGCAGUGGGGAAUAUUGGACAAUGGGCGAAAGCCUGAUCCAGCCAUGCCGCGUGUGUGAAGAAGGUCUUCGGAUUGUAAAGCACUUUAAGUUGGGAGGAAGGGCAGUAAGUUAAUACCUUGCUGUUUUGACGUUACCGACAGAAUAAGCACCGGCUAACUUCGUGCCAGCCGCCGCGGUAAUAC